rnacentral:miRNA from 1 species
UGGGCGCGCCGGGACUGUGAGAC